UCUCUCUCUCUCUAUUUCCACUGCCUCCUUCUCCAACACGGGCCGCCGCCACGGCCAGGCCGGCGUGGCGGUGCGCCUGCUGCUCCUCCACGUGCCGCCGCACCAUCACCUCAUUACCAUCCAUCCAUCCGAGUCGCAACCCAGCACCUCCACCAGCGCCACAACGCCGCCGCAUCAGCACCUCCCCAUGCCUCCACCAGGGCCUCCCAUCCUCCAUCGGUGCUCCUCCUCCUCCUCUCUAACCUUCUCUUCUCAACGUUGCUGCUGCUCUAUUUCCUCACCUCUGUUGCUGCUGCCUUCUUCUCUCUCAACCUCCUGCUGCUGCCCUUCCUUGCACCCCCGUGCUGCUACCCUUCUCCAACUGCUGCUACUCCUCCCCUCGCCCCAACUGCUGCCACUCCGCUUCCACUGCUACUCCACGCUGCUACUCCACUUCCUCAAAUCUUGCUGCUGCUUCUCUGAAUCCUUCACUGCUGCUGCUUCUACUCCAUCUUCUUGCACCCCUAUUGUUCCUCUUCAGAGUCUGAACCUCAACCUCCUGCUGCUCCUCUCUUUUUGCGCCCCUGCUGCUUCUUCUCCCUCAACCUCCUGCUGCUGCCUUCUCUCUCUCUCUCUCUUUCUCUCUCUCUCUCUGUGUGUGUGUGUGUGUGUGUCUAAUUCAUUUGAGAUGCAAAAAAAUGAUAGUAGUCACUGUUUGUUAAUUUUCUCUGGAUUUGUAACGUAAAAGAUUAUGUAAUGCUUAGAUUUGAUGGAUGUUAAUAACCAUUGUUCUAUAAUGUCAUUUUGUGUUUACUGACUAGUUGUAGUGCUGUUACUUUUAGUAAUAAUUAAUCUGUCAUAUAGCUUUAUUCUAGUAAUAAGCAUUCUGUUAGUGUGUGUGUGUUCACCUAGUGUACUAGUCCCCUGUACUAGUUAACAUUGUAUAUGAUUGAUGUUCAGCCCUUGUGCUUUUUGUCAAGUGAGACAUGUGAAUUCGACAAUUUCUAGUUCCCAUGUUAGCUUUGUACCUGUGAUUUAUAUGCCUACAAUAUAAUCGUUUGUGUUGUCAUAUAUUUCUGCCCCUGUCAUGUAAUCUUGUUUACUAUAUAAUCUUUCUUGUCUGGUUGUUUCCUUUUGCGUCAAUGUUCUAGUGUCUGAAGUAUAACAAACAAGAAAAAUACCAUGAUUGCAAUCUAAUUCUCCCUAUGCUUGUUUCCUAUUUUAUUGGUUAAUGAUUUUCUGGAACAAACUUCCUUGGUUGGUUUGAAAUUACCGAACCACUUGUGUCACCUAACUUUAGUCGAACAUAGCCACUGAUUUGCCUAGUCCCUUUGGAGAACACGACACUCUCAGAUUUGGGCGUAAAACCCCAUUGUAUUUACAACUGAUCAUUUUGGCGCCGCUGCCGGGGACUAGCGUCGAGCGAUUGUGCUAGGCUAUAGACUUGUUUUUUCUUGUUUUCUUUUUGUGACAUUUAUAUGUGAUACAUAUCUAACCCCUAACCACUAUUCUAGUUAUUUUCUCUUCAUUUUCUUGUUUGGUUUGUAGGUUGGGUUGUCUUCUUUGAAAUGUCAUUCAACUCAGACCAUCAUGCUUAUGUGGGCAAUAGCACGAAAGUGUUUAAGACCUGAUAAGUAAGAUUUCCCAUCAGUUAGAUGAUUUAGCUUGGCAGCGAGGUAUAGUUUGUGAGGAUAGGCCUGGCUCUUAUGAUGCUUAUUCUAGAGGCCAUCCUUAUGUUGCUCCUACAUGCCAUAUUUGUGGAUUUCAGGGCCAUUCACCCGCUGAAUGUCAGCAUGGUUACUCUCAUCCUGCGGAUUGUUUUGGUAUGAACUUUUCUCAACAACAUGGCUCAUGCCAAAACAAUUACUCAUAUGGGUGGCCUGGAAACCAGAAUAUGUCAUAUAGGAGCAAUGACCCUGAGAUCUCAUCGUUUGCCUCUAGUUAUCCAAUGUAGGGAAUUAGGUACAAUGAGGAGAGCCACAAUUAUGCACCCCAACAAUUUCAUUCUGCUCCUAUUCAUAUACCUCAACAUCAGGAGAUGUUGCCAAUGGAGUUAAAUGGUCCUCCAUUUGGUCAACCAACAACUUCAACACCUAAUGAGUCGUUAGAGCAAUCUCAUGUGCAAGUGCGCGUAGAAGAUGGUUUUGAUGAUAUAGAGAAGCUCACAUUACUUGGUCUUGAGUUCACUUGGAGUACCGGGGAUGAUCUUAUUAGGAAGGUUAUACUAGAGGAAAUGAAGAAGACCAAGAGUGGAAAAGAGCUAGUGGAAGAAGUAAGGAAGAUUGAGAAGAACAUCAACGCUGGCAGUACUAUAUCAUCACAGCUUGAGUUGAGUGUCGCUGAGAUAUCCAUGGAUACAUGUGAGGUUCUAAUACGUUCACAUUCAGUUGAGCAAGAUAGUGAGAGCCCGGAUGAAGAGAUACCUCAGAUUGAAGAAGAUGAACUAGAAAACGAGGAACAAGAUGACCAAGAGAUCGACUACCCAAGCGAUCAAGUUGAAGACGCAAUCUCUAUCUCCCCCGAAAGAGGAAAAGAAGCUGCUAUAGAUGAACUUGGAGAACCAAAAAUUCAUUUGCCCAUCGUCAUACAAGAGCGUGAUGUUGCAGGUUCAUCUAAUCCUCUUGAUGACAUGCGUCCUUAUGAUUCCUUUGCUUCUACCUUGCAUUACAUGAUACCAUCAAUUAAGAUUGAUUUGAAAACUCAUUUGCUUGGAUAUGAUGAUACAUACAAUGUUGGUAGCAUUGCUCUCAUUUAUGAUGAUGACACUUAUUCUCCUCAUGCUAGACCUAUGCUUAAUGAUAAAUAUCAUCCUCAUGUUAGUAUUGAGCUUGCUGAUUCCUAUCAUACUCGUCAUGUACUUUAUGGCUAUGUUUAUGUAAUUGGGUACUCUAUUGAUGAUUUAGAGGGCAUUGACCCUGUCACUUGUAUUGUCUCUUUGGUUGAACGCACUUUCAGGUUUUUGCUUGUGCACAAAUCAAUACAUGCUGACCAGGUUCGAGGUGACAUUCCUUGGGACCCCGGUGGAUUCACGGCAUGGUGAUGAGGAGAAGCAAGGAGCACACAUGAAGAGAGAAGCUGGAGAAGGCAUGAGGAUAGGGAAUCAAAAGGAGAGGAGUCACAAUGCAAGAGGAUGUGAGAUGAUCGAGCGAGUGCUACACCCAAGCCCGAUGAGUUGUUUCAUGACCCAUUUCGAAAAAGUGCGUAAAGGCACUAUAAAGUUCCAGAUUUGGACUAUGAGGCAAUCGAGAUGAGCAUAUGAAUGAAGAGAAGAGGUACCUGAGUUGAUUGAAGAUUAAAGAUUCAAGGGCUAAAAUAAAGAAGAGGGGGAUCUACUUGAGCCAAAAGAAGAGAAGAGAAAGGCCAUAUAGAAAAAGUGGUAGAUCAGAUCGUGGGAUCAAAUGCCAAGCAGCGACCAUCGAUCCCCUCUUGGCCUGGACACAUCUCUCUCUCUCUCUCUGUCCCCUGCCUCCUUCUCCAACACCGCCUGCCGCCAUAGCCAGGCCGGCUUGGUGGUGCGCAUGCUGCUCCUCCAUGCGCUGCCGCACCAUCACCUCAUUACCAUCUAUCCAUCCGCAUCGCCACCCAGCACCUCCACCAGCGCCACAACGCCGCUGCAUCAUCACUGGCGUGCCAUUGGCACCUCCCCACGCCUCCACCAGCGCCUCCCAGCCUGCCUCGCUACUCCUCCUCCUCUCCAACCUUCUCUCCUUUCAACGCUGCUGCUGCUCUAUUUCCUCACCUUUGUUGAUGCUGCCUUCUUCUCGCUCAACUUCCUACUGCUGCCCUUUCUUGCGUCCCCAUGUGUGACGCCCCUGAUUCGACCGUACACUAAUCAUACACGCAAACGUGUACGAUCAAGAUCACGGACUCAUGGAAAGAUAUCACAACACAACACUAGACACAAAUUAAAAUAAUAAAAUCUUCAUAUUACAAGCCAAGGCCCUUGAGGGCUCGAAUACAUAGCUCGAUACACAAGAGUCAGUGGAAGCAACAAUAUCUGAGUACAGACAUGAGGUUAAACAAGGAUGCCUUAAGAAGGCUAGCACAAACAUCAAUGAUCGAAGACGCAAGGCCUCCUGCCAGGGACCUCCUAACUACUCCUGGUCGUCGGCGGGCUCCACGUAGUAGUAGGCACCCUCGGGGUAGUAGUAGUAGUCGUCGGGGUGGCAUCUGGCUCUAGAGAUCCACCAACUGGUUGCAACAAGCGGAAAGAAGAAAGAAGGGGGGAAAUGGGUACCAAGGCAACCGCGAGUACUCAUCCAAAGUACUCAGAAGCAUCAGAUCUAAACUAA